CAGUUCUUUUUGCUUCAUCUUAAGCCUCUGUUGGAAAGGAUCAGAGAGACACGUGACCCAGAACAAACUUUCGGGCAGCAUGAAGGAGCAGCAGGAUUCCCCUCAUGAUGCCUUCAGUUGCUGUAUUCUGUGGUUCCAGACUCUGGUGUUAACUUGUUGGGCAACCCUGAGCAAGUCAACCAGACUUUCCAGGUGCAGUGCUUCGUCAGGUGAAUGCGGAUCCAUCACUACUUGCCCAGACCUGAAAGACCUGAUCCAGACUACUCCUUGAGCCAGAAGUUAAAGUGCUCAUCCUUGGGCGCCUGGGCGGCUCAGUUGGUUAAGCGACUGCCUUCGGCUCAGGUCAUGAUCCU